rnacentral:rRNA from 1 species
GGGAAGCGGCGAACGGGUGAGUAACACGUAGGUCAUCUGCCCAUCAGACGGGGACAACGAUUGGAAACGAUCGCUAAUACCGGAUAGGGCGAAAGUUUAAAGAUGCUCCUGGCAUCACUGAUGGAUGAGCCUGCGGCGCAUUAGCUAGUUGGUGGGGUAAAGGCCUACCAAGGCGACGAUGCGUAGCCGACCUGAGAGGGUGAACGGCCACACUGGGACUGAGACACGGCCCAGACUCCUACGGGAGGCAGCAGUAGGGAAUCUUCGGCAAUGGGCGAAAGCCUGACCGAGCAACGCCGCGUGAAUGAAGAAGGCCUUCGGGUUGUAAAAUUCUGUUAUAAGGGAAGAAAGGUGAUAGGAGGAAAUGACUAUCAAUUGACGGUACCUUAUGAGAAAGCCACGGCUAACUACGUGCCAGCAGCCGCGGUAAUACGUAGGUGGCAAGCGUUAUCCGGAAUUAUUGGGCGUAAAGAGCGCGCAGGUGGUUAAUUAAGUCUGAUGUGAAAGCCCACGGCUUAACCGUGGAGGGUCAUUGGAAACUGGUUGACUUGAGUGCAGAAGAGGGAAGUGGAAUUCCAUGUGUAGCGGUGAAAUGCGUAGAGAUAUGGAGGAACACCAGUGGCGAAGGCGGCUUCCUGGUCUGCAACUGACACUGAGGCGCGAAAGCGUGGGGAGCAAACAGGAUUAGAUACCCUGGUAGUCCACGCCGUAAACGAUGAGUGCUAAGUGUUGGGGGUCGAACCUC